GAUGUUAAAACCUUAAACCUUGUCUUGUCUAUAUCCUUAUCCACGCCUCAUUUCUUUUGCUACACGAUCGGUGCUUGAGAUGUCACAUGCCCAACAAGUCUUUUCAGUGAGGGAAUUUCUGGUGGAACGGUGAAAUGCGUAGAGAUUGGAAAGAACACCAACGGCGAAAGCACUUUGCUGGGCCGACACUGACACCGAGAGACGAAAGCUAGGGGAGCGAAUGAGAUUAGAUACCCCAGAAGCGUAGAUCCGGAGAUUCCCGAUAUAGGUCAACCUUUCGAACUGGUGCUGAAUCCACGGGCAGGCAAGAGACAACCCGGUGAACUGAAACAUCUUAGUAGCUAGAGGAAAAGAAAGCAAAAGUGAUUCCCGUAGUAGCGGCGAGCGAAAUGGGAGCAGCCUAAACCGUGAAAACGGGGUUGUGGGAGAGCUAUAUAAGAAAGGCUUAUGGUGGAUACCUAGGCACCCAGAGAUGAGGAAGGGCGUAGUAAGCGACGAAAUGCUUUGGGGAGUUGAAAAUAAGCGUAGAUUCGGGGAUUCCCGAUAUAGGUAAACCUUUCGAAUUGCUGUUGAAUCCUCGGGUAGGCAAGAGACAAACUGGUGAACUGAAACAUCUUAGUAGCCAGAGGAAAAGAAAGCAAAAGCAAUUCCCGUAGUAGUGGCGAGCGAAAUGGGAGUAGCCUAAACCGUGAAAACGGGUCCUAGCCGUAAACGAUGGAUACUAGGCACUGUGCGUAUCGACCCGUGCAAUGUUGUAGCUAACGCGUUAAGUAUCCCGCCUGGGGAGUAUGUUUGCAAGAAUGAAACUCAAAGGAAUUGACGGGCGCCCGCACAGCGUGGAGCAUGUGGUUUAAUCCAAUGACAAGCGAAGAACCUUACUAGGGCUUGACAUGCCGUGAAUCCUCUUGAAAGAGAGGGGUGCCUUCGGGAACGUGGACACAGGUGGUGCAUGGUUGUCUACUUUUUUCACCCCCAUCUAUGUCGUCACACGGGGGCGACAUGGAUGGGGUGAAAGUGGAAAGAGAGGGAUGGGGUUUCUCUUGCUUUUGGUAUAGUGGGCCCCAGCGGGAGGUCUGCAUGACGGGCUAAGGGCUCUCAGCCACAUGGAUAAUUUAAUGUACUCAUCGAGACGUGGAUCAUCCAAGGCACAUUAGCAUGGCGUACUUCCUCU
rnacentral:ncRNA from 1 species